GAUGAACGCUAGCGGCAGGCUUAAUACAUGCAAGUCGAGGGACAGCACAGGUAGCAAUACUGGGUGGUAACCGGCAAACGGGUGCGGAACACGUACACCACCUUCCUUUAAGUGGGAGAUAGCCCAGAGAAAUUUGGACUAAUACCCCGUAAUAUAGUUGAAUGGCAUCAUUUGAUUAUUAUAGCUACGGCGCUUAAUGAUGGGUGUGCGGCUGAUUAGAUAGUUGGCGGGGUAACGGCCCACCACGUCUACGUUCAGUAGCUGAUGUGAGAGAAUGAUCAGCCACACGGGCACUGAGACACGGGCCCGACUCCCACGGGAGGCAGCAGUAAGGAAUAUUGGUCAAUGGACGCAAGUCUGAACCAGCCAUGCCGCGUGAAGGAUUAAGGUCCUCUGGAUUGUAAACUUCUUUUAUUUGGGACGAAAAAGGGCCUUUCUAGGUCAACUGACGGUACCAGAUGAAUAAGCACCGGCUAACUCCGUGCCAGCCGCCGCCGUAACAC
rnacentral:rRNA from 1 species